rnacentral:lncRNA from 1 species
GAAAAACUCAGAAGCACCCAGAUGUCUUGGCUGGACAGGAAUGGUCUGGAACACCCAGAGAAAAUGAGUGCCUGGGUCCUUCUUAGGCAACAUCCUGUCUCCUGAGAAUGUCAUCUCUAGGAAUAUCUGCAGACUUGCUGAGAACCAGUGAAG